CUUCUCUUAACAUGUCUGCAUUUGUAAUGCUCUUUUUACUAGGUCCUCUUUAUGCUUUUCCUGAGGUCAAGUUUACUGGAUUAAGAAUGUUGUUAAAAAAAGAUCAAGCUCACAGACGAGGAAUGCUCCUACGCUUACAUGCUAAGCAAACAGGCACUGAGAAGACAUGCACAGUCUAUACAGUGAGCUCGUCUCCUCACCUCUGGAGGGGUGUAUUCCACUGCGACUGCAUCACCGUUUCUUGGGUAUAUGUUAAGAAGUGUUAAGAGUCCUCAGACUCUUAACAAUGGGACUGACAGAUUAAAGGGUCUUGGAGAACUAGUGAAUUUUAAAGGGGAAUAGGUUUCCUAAUAUGAAGGCAUUGUUACAUGGUAAUAAUGUUUUGCCCAUGUGUGCAAAUGGUACAGUACAUGCAACACAUCUAUAAAUCCUGUCCAAUUUUUUUCUUAUUAUCUCACAAACUAACUGCAAAUGUUUCCCAGGUAAGCGUCAUGCUUUACAAUUAUCCUAAUAAUAAAUGGUAUAUCUAUUUUUUUCAAAUACAAGAAAAAGUAACAUUAAGGAUGAUCCAAGCAGAAAAUGUAUACUUCUUCCACUGGUGGACAUCAGUGUAAUUCUUUGCAAAGACAAAGAAAUUGUCUUCCCCACAAGAUAGAGAUAUAUUUGCUUAUAGUGCAUAGUUCCUUACGAUCGACAGUUCUCAUGACAGGAUAGCUGCUGUGCUGCGAACUCAAUGGAAACGUGUGGAGGUUUAAGUCCAAAGGACUUCCUGUACUGUGUGAGCAUCCAUGACACUGAUGACCAUCCAUGAAAGAUUCUUGCAUUUAGAGUGGUGGGACAAACAUUUGCCCUGGUUUGCUACUUCUGUUUUUCCCCUUCGCAGUAGAAGUGAAAGUCGGAUCACGACAGUUUAUAAAACGAAGACGCUCCUGCACUCAGAACAAUUGAAUGCUUGAGUUUCAACUUAUUUAUUACUGUUCCUUUUUAUAGAUUUAGGUGAAUAAAAAUAUUAUAAAAUAUACAACUGAAUAUGCAUCCAUUUAUACAUGAACGUGUAUAAAACAACCUACCCUUUACUAGAAUGUAGAUCAUGGCUUCCUUUUUGUUUCUUUUUUUGUGACGAGGUUAUGCCUGAUCUUUAAAGUCUCUUUCCUCUGAUAGUUUGUACAACCUGUGCUUAAUCUAAUUUAUGCUACUGAUGACCAUCAUGACAGCUGUGUUGUUUUGAUUGUUACCGCCCAGUGGUUAAAUGCAGCCUUGCCUUACUGGAACCCCUGCUUAGUGAGGGAUCCCUCAGCCACUUUACCGCCCCCCACAACUCCUAUGUCAUAACACUGUUUGCUGAUGCAACUAUUAUUCCUUUUACACUUUCUGCUGACGCAACUACUUCUUCUUGGACACCUAUUAAAAUAACAUAUAUU
ensembl:lncRNA